ensembl:lncRNA
GUAAUAGGAGGAGGAUGAAGGGGAGGAACAUGAGGAGGAUGAAGGGUAAUAGGAGGAGGAUGAAGGGGAACAUGAGGAGGAUGAAGGGGAACAUGAGGAGGAUGAAGGGUAAUAGGAGGAUGAUGAAGGGGAACAUGAGGAGGAUGAAGGGUAAUAGGAGGAGGAUGAAGGGGAACAUGAGGAGGAUGAAGGGUAAUAGGAGGAUGAUGAAGGGGAACAUGAGGAGGAUGAAGGGGAACAUGAGGAGGAUGAAGGGUAAUAGGAGGAGGAUGAAGGGGAACAUGAGGAGGAUGAAGGGGAACAUGAGGAGGAUGAAGGGGAACAUGAGGAGGAUGAAGGGUAAUAGGAGGAGGAUGAAGGGGAACAUGAGGAGGAUGAAGGGUAAUAGGAGGAGGAUGAAGG